rnacentral:tRNA from 2 species
UGCCGAGUGGUGUAACGGUAGCACAGCAGACUCUGGAUCUGUUUGUCAUGGUUCGAAUCCAUGCUCGGCAGCCA